rnacentral:ncRNA from 1 species
ACGAUCAAGGUUGCAGCUUUAACGCUGCAUGAAAAGGGAAUGCGGUGCGAGUCCGCAGCAGCUCACUCUACUGUAUGACAGACGAAAAGCGAUAUGUCACUGAGCAAAAGGCUUGGGAAGACGCCGAGUAGGAUGAAGUUAAGUCAGGAGACCUGCCUUGAUUGA